UACGGAGGGGGCGAGCGUUGUUCGGAAUUACUGGGCGUAAAGCGCGCGUAGGCGGUGCGAUGAGUCAGGCGUGAAAGGCCCGGGCUCAACCUGGGGACUGCGUUUGAUACUGUCGCACUUGAGUCCAGGAGAGGGUGGCGGAAUUCCCAGUGUAGAGGUGAAAUUCGUAGAUAUUGGGAAGAACACCGGUGGCGAAGGCGGUCACCUGGUCUGGAACUGACGCUGAGGCGCGAAAGCGUGGGGAGCAAACAGG
rnacentral:rRNA from 1 species